rnacentral:misc_RNA from 1 species
GAUGAAGAACGUAGCGAAAUGCGAUAAGUAAUGUGAAUUGCAGAAUUCAGUGAAUCAUCGAAUCUUUGAACGCACAUUGCGCCCCCUGGUAUUCCGGGGGGCAUGCCUGUUCGAGCGUCAUUUCACCACCCAAGCCUCGCUUGGUAUUGGGCAACGCGGUCCGCCGCGUGCCUCAAAUCGACCGGCUGGGUCUUCUGUCCCCUAAGCGUUGUGGAAACUAUUCGCUAAAGGGUGUUCGGGAGGCUACGCCGUAAAACAACCCCAUUUCUAAGGUUGACCUCGGAUCAGGUAGGGAUACCCGCUGAACUUAAGCAUAUCAAUAAGCGGAGGA